rnacentral:pre_miRNA from 13 species
UAUUAUGUUACAGUGAUUUAAUAAUUCGAUUCGAAGUUAUGUGCUUUAAUCAUUCAUAAAUGCGAAACGGAUUAUUAAGUUAUUGUUAACAUUCAACU